CUUUAAAAGUGUAAUAAGAUCUGCAUGUUCCGGUAAAAUAGUGUGUAAAAUUCAAUGUCGGCAGAGUUGCAUAUUUUCAUUUGAAGUCAUAAUAUAUAGUUCAUAUCAUCAAUUAAGUGCAACUUUGGGACUCUAGACAUCGAAUAAUUAACAAAUUGAUAUACGUGCACAUGACUGCGAAAUCGAUUCGUGUUAAUGGCAUUCCGCGAGACAAGUGAAACACGAUGCCAUAAAAGUGAAGUGUCUAAUGGUGCGAUAGUGGUCCUUCUACAUGAUGACAGUAGUUGCAGCAGCAGCAGCAGCAGAAGCAUCAGACGAAACAUCAUCCACCAUUCGCCAUGCCAAGGAUUUGCCAACUUGUCGUCGAUUUACGAUCUUCUAUAACCGUACCUGCCUUCUAUGUGCGGCACGUUAUACACUGGUAAGGUUAUAAUCGAAUUAAUGUUUUUAUAAAAAUUUGCGCUGAUAUCAAUUCAAUUAUUGCAGUUAUAAAAUAAUCAUAUGUUUAUUAAAACGGAACAAUUAAAUUAACUAACGCGUUUAAA